rnacentral:rRNA from 1 species
GAUGAACGCUGGCGGCGUGCCUAAUACAUGCAAGUCGAGCGAACGGACGAGAAGCUUGCUUCUCUGAUGUUAGCGGCGGACGGGUGAGUAACACGUGGAUAACCUACCUAUAAGACUGGGAUAACUUCGGGAAACCGUAGCUAAUACCGGAUAAUAUUUUGAACCGCAUGGUUCAAAAGUGAAAGACGGUCUUGCUGUCACUUAUAGAUGGAUCCGCGCUGCAUUAGCUAGUUGGUAAGGUAACGGCUUGCCAAGGCAACGAUGCAUAGCCGACCUGAGAGGGUGAUCGGCCACACUGAACUGAGACACGGUCCAGACUCCUACGGGAGGCAGCAGUAGGGAAUCUUCCGCAAUGGGCGAAAGCCUGACGGAGCAACGCCGCGUGAGUGAUGAAGGUCUUCGGAUCGUAAAACUCUGUUAUUAGGGAAGAACAUAUGUGUAAGUAACUGUGCACAUCUUGACGGUACCUAAUCAGAAAGCCACGGCUAACUACGUG